AGAGUUUGAUCCUGGCUCAGAUUGAACGCUGGCGGCAGGCCUAACACAUGCAAGUCGAGCGGUAACACAAGGGAGCUUGCUCCUGAGGUGACGAGCGGCGGACGGGUGAGUAAUGCCUAGGUAUCUGCCCAGUCGAGGGGGAUAACAGUUGGAAACGACUGCUAAUACCGCAUACGCCCUACGGGGGAAAGGAGGGGACCUUCGGGCCUUUCGCGAUUGGAUGAACCUAGGUGGGAUUAGCUAGUAGGUGGGGUAAUGGCUCACCUAGGCGACGAUCCCUAGCUGGUCUGAGAGGAUGAUCAGCCACACUGGAACUGAGACACGGUCCAGACUCCUACGAGAGGCAGCAGUGGGGAAUAUUGCACAAUGGGCGAAAGCCUGAUGCAGCCAUGCCGCGUGUAUGAAGAAGGCCUUCGGGUUGUAAAGUACUUUCAGCGAGGAGGAAAGCUCAAUUGUUAAUAGCGAUUGGGUGUGACGUUACUCGCAGAAGAAGCACCGGCUAACUUCGUGCCAGCAGCCGCGGUAAUACGAGGGGUGCAAGCGUUAAUCGGAAUUACUGGGCGUAAAGCGUACGCAGGCGGUUUGUUAAGCGAGAUGUGAAAGCCCCGGGCUCAACCUGGGAACUGCAUUUCGAACUGGCAAACUAGAGUCCUGUAGAGGGGGGUAGAAUUUCA
rnacentral:rRNA from 1 species